AUUGAACGCUGGCGGCAGGCCUAACACAUGCAAGUCGAACGGUAGCACAGAGAGCUUGCUCUCGGGUGACGAGUGGCGGACGGGUGAGUAAUGUCUGGGAAACUGCCUGAUGGAGGGGGAUAACUACUGGAAACGGUAGCUAAUACCGCAUAACGUCGCAAGACCAAAGAGGGGGACCUUCGGGCCUCUUGCCAUCAGACGUGCCCAGAUGGGAUUAGCUAGUAGGUGGGGUAACGGCUCACCUAGGCGACGAUCCCUAGCUGGUCUGAGAGGAUGACCAGCCACACUGGAACUGAGACACGGUCCAGACUCCUACGGGAGGCAGCAGUGGGGAAUAUUGCACAAUGGGCGCAAGCCUGAUGCAGCAAUGCCGCGUGUAUGAAGAAGGCCUUCGGGUUGUAAAGUACUUUCAGCGGGGAGGAAGGCGAUACGGUUAAUAACCGUGUUGAUUGACGUUACCCGCAGAAGAAGCACCGGCUAACUCCGUGCCAGCCGCCGCAGUAA
rnacentral:rRNA from 1 species